ACUCCUGCGGGAGGCAGCAGUGGGGAAUAUUGGACAAUGGGCGCAAGCCUGAUCCAGCCAUGCCGCGUGAGUGAUGAAGGCCCUAGGGUUGUAAAGCUCUUUCACCGGAGAAGAUAAUGACGGUAUCCGGAGAAGAAGCCCCGGCUAACUUCGUGCCAGCAGCCGCGGUAAUACGAAGGGGGCUAGCGUUGUUCGGAAUUACUGGGCGUAAAGCGCACGUAGGCGGAUCGAUCAGUCAGGGGUGAAAUCCCAGGGCUCAACCCUGGAACUGCCUUUGAUACUGUCGAUCUGGAGUAUGGAAGAGGUGAGUGGAAUUCCGAGUGUAGAGGUGAAAUUCGUAGAUAUUCGGAGGAACACCAGUGGCGAAGGCGGCUCACUGGUCCAUUACUGACGCUGAGGUGCGAAAGCGUGGGGAGCAAACAGGAUUAGAAACUUGUAGUCCCAUG
rnacentral:rRNA from 1 species